rnacentral:tRNA from 2 species
UCGCGGGUAGUUCAAUUGGCAGAACACCGGACUUUGAAUCCGGGGGUUGCAGGUUCGAGCCCUGCCCCGCGAG